GGGCUUCUGCAGAAGCUGAGCGGUGCUGGCUCAGAGCAGCCAGGGCUUAUCCAAGGAAGAGAACCCCUCCACGCAGCCUCCACGCACCUCUCUGAAGAGUGACCCAUACCUCGUCACCCACUGGCUUCAAGAUCGCCACUGACCCCCCGCCUUUUCCUGCAAGGAGCACCGCAGCCUGCAGGGUCAGCUCCAUCCUCCAGAGUCCUCCGGAUGCAGCCCGGCCUGAAGUCCUUCCUGAACACCUGUCGUCAGGCUCCAAGGCGCUAAGGAUCACGAGAGUGCCUGUCUGUCCAGUGGUGUCCCCCUGCCACAGCUGUCGCCCACCCACCUUCAAGCAGAACAGAGCAGAGGGUCGAGUCUCUGUCGCAUCAGCUUUAGAUUCCCGCCUCCCUGUCCUGGGCCGCUCGCCACACCUUCGUCCUGGCGGUUCCCGCCAGCUUGUUCACAAACCGAAGGCCUCAGGUUUCUCUCCCCAGACUGUCCCAGCGUCCCCUUCAGAGAGGAGGCUGGCGUCUGAAGUCCCCCGUCCCAGUUGGAAUUAGCCGCUUCGCCCUGGAAUCUAGCUUGCUCCCCUGGGUCUGUCACAAAUAGGGACCCGGCCGAAAUGUGUCAUCAUGCAAGACAGUCCUUCCUGGAACUCAAUCUGAGUGGCUUUUUGCAAAAACAGGAGACGAGCAGACAACAUCUCUCCCAACCUUGAUAACCACGUCAAGACGGGGCUCAGGCACUCCUGACCCUCCCCCAAUUAAAUAACCUCAAUUCCUUUCCUCAAAAGGAUCACCUGGAGCUCCCGUGGUGGCUCGGUAGUAACGAACCCAACUAGUAUCCCUGGCCUUGCUCAGUGGGUUAAGGAUCCAGUGUUGCCGUGAGCUGUGGUGUUGGUGGCAGAUGUGGCUCAGAUCUGGCGGAGGCUGAGCUGCAGCUUCAAUUCAACCCCUAGCCUGGGAACUUCCAUACACCAUGGAGCAGAGGCGCGGGGGUGAGACAUCCUGGAGGCCAGCUGGGAGGAGGCCUGUGCCUCCGGGAUGGGGCCCAGAGAGCAAGUCUUCAGUGCACGUGGCCUGCUUCUCUCAGUCAACCAUGGGGAGCUGCUUAGAGGCUUGGAGCAGGGGAACAGCAGAGUCCCCAUUUUGACCCUGGGAUACAAUGGCUCUGGCCUCAGUUGUAACUGGGUCCGCGCUGUGUCCUUACGUAGCCAAAUGCCACUCUCCACGCCAAACUGUCACUCUUGUCUCAUUCCACUUUGCCCUCACCACAGGUCUGUGGCAUCACCUUUCUGAUGCACACAGACAACAGUCAACGGAGGGGUGACUUUUCUAGCAACUGUGCAUAUUGUGUUUUUGCUUGGUUGCAGCAUGACAGUGGAAUCUCUCAUAAUCAGCUUCAACUGGUUCCAAGCCAGGGGACCCCAGGGCACUGGCCCAGGAUGGUUGGAGUUCACGCCGGCUUAUGCUGCUGUUCUUGCUGGUGAAUGGUGUCCCCUGCUUCUCUCACAAAUGUCCUGCUUUGGAAAAUAAGUCAUAUGGCUACUUAUGACUUUUAUGUUUGGAAAAUUGAGGCUGGGGGCUGCUGUAUUCUGUGCAUUUAUCCCCCAGGGGGCCCUGUCCAUGGGCUUUUUGGAGGAGAGCAGAGACUGGACCCCAAAUUUUUUUAUUGCUUAGCCUUGCAAAUGCUGGAUGGGGUGGCCACGGGGUGCAAAUUUCCCCUUUGCUCAAGAAUUGGACAAAACCCCAAGAAUACAAAGAGCUAUGUGCCCCCAAAUUCCUGGGAAGCCUCCAACAACUGGGGCGGACUUGGAGGCAGCAUAACCCCUCGGUGACUCUCCAGCACCCCUGCACCCUUACUGCCAGCCUAGGGGAGAGCAGGGAGGGGCAGGUCAGCCCUGGGGGGCCCGAGCUCCCAGUUAGAGGCUCCCCCUCUCCUCCGGCCUCCAAGAGCAUCUCUGCUGAGGCCAGGGGUGCCUGGCCAAGCUCAAACCCCACUCCCAGGGCAGAUGUCCGCUCAGGACGCAGGGAGACGGGAGUGGCUGAGAACUUUGUCUUCAACUGUAAUUUCAAAAACAGCGCAAAGUGACCUUCGGGGCUCCUUUCUGGCAAUAGCAGAUUAUGGGUCCAUGAACAUGACAGAUGCCAUGUCCAGGCCUCAUAAAGUAACAAGCCCCUGCACCAGGAUCCCAGGCAGUGUCCACACGGCUCCAACUGGGACUUUCACCUGCCGCCUCUGGCUCCUUUUCUUCCCCAACCAGAUGCUCAUUAAUCCAGUCAGGUGUGCUUGGCUGGAAGCCCAGGGGACCGAGGCACCAACUGAUGGGUCUUUCGCUGGAACUGCUGAAGGGCACGCAGCACCUUUUCUUCCAAAGUCC
rnacentral:lncRNA from 1 species